AUUGCAGAAUUCAGUGAAUCAUCGAAUCUUUGAACGCACAUUGCGCCCUCUGGUAUUCCGGGGGGCAUGCCUGUUCGAGCGUCAUUACAACCCUCAAGCCUGGCUUGGUGUUGGGCUCGCCCCCAGUGGGCCUGCCUCAAAAUCAGUGGCGGCUCCGUCCGGUCUCAAGCGCAGUAAUACUCGUCGCUUGUUGGUCCUGGGCGGCGGCCUGCCAGCAACCCCCAAUUUUACAUUGUUGACCUCGGAUCAGGUAGGGAUACCCGCUGAACUUAAGCAUAUCAAUAAGCGGAGGAAAAGAAACCAACAGGGAUUGCCUCAGUAACGGCGAGUGAAG
rnacentral:rRNA from 1 species